rnacentral:ncRNA from 1 species
UGCGGGGGGAGCUGCACGCGGCAGCUGAGAGGUUCCUAAACCCAGGACGACCCCUUGAACCUGAUCCGGAUCGUACCGGCGGAGGGACGC